GCACGUGGGUUGAGGGGGUGGGAGGACGCCGGGCGGCGGAGUAACCGGUGAAGUGUCAAAGAGGCAGGAGUGGAGGGCUGCGGGGGUGACAGGGUGUGGUCUGCCUGGAGCGGCGACGUGGGAGAGGGGGGCAGAGGCCUGGGGCUGUAGAUGGUGCCUCGGUGUGCGGGUGCGGUGACAGCGCGCAGCUGAGCGGCGACUAGGGUGUCCCGGGCUCGCCAAGUGUCCAGCUCCAAGCUGUGCCAGCGACCUCGCGGGCCCUGAAGCCAGACACCUGCGAGUGAGAAGCAAGAGGUGCUCAGCCUUCCCGGCAAGUGCUGUAAGAAGCAACAACCAUCUGGAGUAAAAGAAACUUGAAAACCAGACACCAUCCCAAGACAUCAACGGAAGAAACAGCUGGAAUCAACGGAGAGAAAGGCAGUGGGCACCUGGAGGAUCUUCAACCUGAGCAGAUGCCAGUUGACAUGGGAACUCUGAGGCCAGCAAUUUAAGGAUUUUCACAUUUGCCUGCAGUGGUAAGAUUUAAAGAUAUAAUAACAAAACACAGAAAAUGUUACAAGGCUCUGGAUUUUUGUACUAGAUGCAAAAUGAAGUGCUUUAGGUAAACAAGUUCCUAUCUAUACAUUUUCCCUGUAAGUUAUCUUACCAAAACGAAAGAAAAUAUCAGAGAAACCCCAUGAUUAAUCCUUAAACGUCAAAUAUAGAUAGUAUGGUUAGGCUGGAUUAAAGGAAAGAAAUUGAGUAAUAGCUGUAGUUCCUUAAGUUAUACAACUGGACCAAGAAGGGGACAUGGUUUUCACCUCCUACAAUGAGCUGUUUCUACAGAGAUGAAAUAUUAGUUGUUAGAGCACAAAGUCCGUGUCAGUGGGAGAAAAGAGGAAGUGGCUGUUUUCAGUUCUGUAGGGGGCAGUAACAGCCUUAGCAUGAGUCUUGAAACUGGGUUGUGAGGGAAUGGGAUCUGUAGUUAAUUAAGUGAUUGCAUAACAAGAAGACUAUCUGGCACUGGUAGUGUGGCCUCCACACUGGACACUUGCUGCCGGUAGAGCCACAUCUGUGUGCUGGGACUUCAAAACAUUGCCAUAAUGUUGAAGAUGCCAGCCGAUGAGCUUGCAUCGUGUUAUUGAACGAUGGGUUUAAAAAUAGAAAUCUUUCACUCCCCUGCAUGUGUGUUUACAUGCAUGUGCACACACAUACAUACACACUCUUAGAUCCGAUGCCAAGGAAUAAAUGCUGAAACUAUCAGCAACCAAAUAUUUACAACUUUUUUUGAAGGAAUCACAGUGUCUGUAUACAUUCUAAUACAGAUAGGCAUCGCACCAGGGAGUGGUUAACACACUUCAAGUACAAUCACAUCGUCUGACGUUAGUGAAUUCGUGGGGUUUUGAGUUGUUGGGGUUAAUAGAAUAAAUUGAGAAACAAUGCCUGAUUCUCCUCCACUUCAACUUGAGACUGAUCUAUCUCCGUAGUGUGUGGCUGUCCUCAGCACAUCUGGUUCUCUGAAGAGUACUGUCCUAAAAUAGAUCCUGGAUUCUUCCGAGUCCUUAUUUUAAUGAAGCCUAACAGCAUGUCCAUGGUACACUGACCAGACUAUGACUCUCUGCCAUUUCGUUGGAUGUUCUUAUAUAACAGGCAUGGUUUUGUAUUUGUAAAUUUGAAAACCAUGAAUUGGGUGUAUUUAGCAUUUCAGUAUGUUCUUCUCAAAUUGUCUGCUUCUGUACUUAGUUACAUUAAAAAAGUUACAUUAACUUUUGCUUUAAUGCUUGUGUUCUUAAAAACUGCUUAUGAACAAUGAAUCAAAUGACAGUGAAAAUGCUGGAAGCUAGAAGAUGUGUUGUAUAGAUUGAUGCCAGGACUAGCAAUACAGUGUCACAUAACAUUGUUUUUACAUCUAGUUAGUUGUUAGUUGUGUUAGUU
rnacentral:sRNA from 1 species